CAGGGAUUGCCCUAGUAACGGCGAGUGAAGCGGCAACAGCUCAAAUUUGAAAUCUGGCCCUCGGGUCCGAAUUGUAAUUUGUAGAGGAUGCUUUUGGUUAGGUACCUUCCGAGUUCCCUGGAACGGGACGCCUUAGAGGGUGAGAGCCCCGUACGGUUGGAUGCCGAGCCUCUGUAAAGCUCCUUCGACGAGUCGAGUAGUUUGGGAAUGCUGCUCUAAAUGGGAGGUAAAUUUCUUCUAAAGCUAAAUACUGGCCAGAGACCGAUAGCGCACAAGUAGAGUGAUCGAAAGAUGAAAAGUACUUUGAAAAGAGGGUUAAACAGCACGUGAAAUUGUUGAAAGGGAAGCGUUUAUGACCAGACUUUUUCUAGGCGGAUCAUCCGGUGUUCUCACCGGUGCACUUCGUCUAGUUUAGGCCAACAUCGGUUUCUGUAGGGGGAUAAAAUCGGUAGGAACGUAGCUCCCUCGGGAGUGUUAUAGCCUGUCGAAUAAUACCUUUACGGGGACCGAGGUUCGCGCUCUGCAAGGAUGUUGGCAUAAUGGUCAUCAACGACCCGUCUUGAAACACGGACCAAGGAGUCGAACAUUUGUGCGAGUGUUUGGGUGUUAAACCCUCACGCGUAAUGAAAGUGAACGGAGGUGAGAGCCCUUUGGGGUGCAUCAUCGACCGAUCCUGAAGUUUACGGAUGGAUUUGAGUAAGAGCAUAACUGUUCGGACCCGAAAGAUGGUGAACUAUGCGUGGAUAGGGUGAAGCCAGAGGAAACUCUGGUGGAGGCUCGCAGCGGUUCUGACGUGCAAAUCGAUCGUCAAAUCUGCGCAUGGGGGCGAAAGA
rnacentral:rRNA from 1 species